UGCUGAAGAUUUGGGGAGUGGGAGUAGCCUUCUAUCACAGUAAUGCAAACGACUUGUAAAUAGCCAUGAGAACUGCUCUGAUCUCAGGAGAAUCCAAAGGCCAGGGCGGGGAUAGUCACCAGGACUCACCUCUGAUGCCUUCAGGACAAGCUGACAUGCCACACCCACCACGCCCGGGAGCCUCCCUGUGAGGGAGCAAUCCAGAUGCAGCGCCUCCCCGCAAAAGGACGUCAGGCUUAGAGGCCAGUGUCCUUCAUCCACACCUCGCCUCGGCCACCUGCUAGCUAGUGAUUCAGAACAAGCUCCUCAACCCUUCUGUCACGUUGGCCUCAUUUGCUCAUCUGGAGAAUGGGGAUGACAUGCUCCCAACUUCCUAGGGCCACCGCGAGGGUGGAAUGGACGAGUCCAGGCACGGAGCCGGCACUCGCAGCCCUCACUGAAAACUAUAUUAUCUGGCCUCUGAUAGGGAUGCCCUGGGGACAGGACGUUGACAGGGCCAGUCGUCCAUCCGAUGCUCCAUGAGGGUGGGCGGUGUCUUCAAUUUGAGCUGGCAGACCCGUCUUCCGCUGGGCCUCUGGGAGUCCCGAGGGGGAAGCCGGGGGUGAGGUGUCCCCUUCCAGGGAGCGACUGCUCUUCGGGGAGCCCAGCAGUACUACCACGAUGGGGGGCACUGGGCAUCGUCUCUCUCAGCCUGCGGUUCUCUGAAGCCCCUCUGUCUGCGGCGGGGGGGGGGGAGGCAGCCCCAGCUUGUGGAUGAUGGGGGCAGGGGCUCCUCUCCUGCUCACUCAGACCCAUGCUGGGAUGGACCCACUUCUUCGUACAGCCCUGUCCUUCCUUUUCACUGUGCAGGUGACCGUUCAAGAGCGCUGCUUUCAGGCGGAUUUCAGUUCUGCUCUCUCACCUUCUGCGGCCCAUUAACUCUGAGCCCCUCGGAAAGCCUGCCCGCAGCUCCUCUCCCAGGCCCAGCCUCGGCCCCAGCCACCCCACUGAUUCCAUUUGAGGUUUCCCCCAUGGAUCUCCCUCGCUCCCCUGCGGGCCACCUAUGCACUUAAAUAAUAUAGCUAAACUCUUCUCCUUACACAUUUCCUUGUCUUCUCCCCAAGUGGACUGGCACCCUGGAGGGCAGGGGCUGGGUGUCUGAGAGGCACUGCCCCCAGUCCCGGUCUACAUAACGUGGGGUCAUGUGACAAACACCACCUCCCCCAAUCUGCCGCCCUGCGCGCACAAGCGCAAGCGCACACACACACACACACACACACACAC